UAUCUGGAAGCGAAAUAUUGCACUAAGUUUCGGCCUUAGGUUUGGGAAGUUUAAUCUCCCAGAUAG
rnacentral:tRNA from 1 species